CAGCCGCCGCGGGAAUACGUAGGUGGCAAGCGUUGUCCGGAAUUAUUGGGCGUAAAGGGCUCGCAGGCGGUUUCUUAAGUCUGAUGUGAAGGCCCCCGGCUCAACCGGGGAGGGUCAUUGGAAACUGGGAAACUUGAGUGCAGAAGAGGAGAGUGGAAUUCCACGUGUAGCGGUGAAAUGCGUAGAGAUGUGGAGGAACACCAGUGGCGAAGGCGACUCUCUGGUCUGUAACUGACGCUGAGGAGCGAAAGCGUGGGGAGCGAACAGGAUUAGAUACCCCCGUAGUCCCUGUCUCUUAUAC
rnacentral:rRNA from 1 species